rnacentral:sRNA from 1 species
ACAAGAAAAAUAAUAGACCGUGUAUCAUCAAAAUAUUGAAAAAUAAAUAAAUACCCCAACACGUAAUUUAUAACAGUAAGACUAUGAAUGGAGGUAGCGGACAAAGCGGUUUAAUUUGUCUGCGAUUUAGUCCAUCUCAUUUUUGAGGCGAACAAUAAACCGCUGCGGACCAAGUUUAUUUGUAUGUAAAAACGGUCCGUAGAUGAUCCGCUGCGGUUUUCUUCUAUUUUUUUUGGUCAUUGAUGAAUUGUAAAUAAAAAUAGUCUGAUUCGUUGACGGUUUUGUCCGUCCCAACCGCCAUAACCAUUCAAACCCUAAAUCGAAUUCACAAGUCAUAACAACUAAUUCUCCCUAAAUAUAAGCAUAUCCUAACACAAACUAAAGAAAUACCU